AACACUGCAGAGCCAUGCCAGGUGAUAACACCAACACUGCAGGGGCUGGAGGCAGCCCUGUGCAGCUGCAGCAAGCUCCAGAGUGCAGGAUCCUCCCAGGGGCACAGCACCAUGGCAGCAGUGCCAGGACUGGCACAGGACAGGGUCCUGAGCCUGGAACCUGCGGCCAGCGGCACCCAGGGGGCCACAGCCACCACCCAGGGGUCACUGCAGUGCCCAGGGGUUCAUGGCCACCACCCAGGGGUUCAUGGCCACCACCCAGGGGUCACUGUGGCACCCAGGGGUCACUGUACGUGCCCUGCAGAACAGGCAGAGCGUGGGCAGAGCCUUGCAGCCCCCCCCAAAAGCCUGGGCUCCUUCCCAGGCGUGGCUGUAAAUGCAAUGAGCAGGCUGCAGCCUCUGGAACCACCAAAGGACAGAGGAAGGUGCUCCCUCCUCCUGCCUGGCACCAGCAGAGGCACAACUACACAGAGGAGGCGACUUCUGAGCGAGAGCCAAGGGCAAGGGCACAAAGGAAGAUCUGCUGGCAAACCUCUGCGGUUAUUUAUUUGUUCAAGGGCCGAAAGAACACUCAUUUCCAGCUCAGAUGGGCAAACAGGGCAGAGCUGAGCAGUACCACGGCACAGAGGGAUCAUCAAAGCUCUGCCCCUCUGAUCUAUGAUAAACUCAGCCAUUAGAAA